rnacentral:misc_RNA from 1 species
UUUCCGUAGGUGAACCUGCCGAAGGAUCAUUAAAGUUAUAGUCCCCCGGCCCCUCCGGGCUGGGGUCUUCUAUACCACCCUUUGUUUAUUACACCUUCGUUGCUUUGGCAGGCCUGCCCUCGGGCUGCUGGCUCCGGCCGGCUCGUGCCUGCCAGAGGACCUAAACUCUGUUUGUAUAUGAAGUCUGAGUACUAUAUAAUAGUUAAAACUUUCAACAACGGAUCUCUUGGUUCUG